rnacentral:rRNA from 1 species
UACGUAGGGUGCGAGCGUUAAUCGGAAUUACUGGGCGUAAAGCGUGCGCAGGCGGUUUGUUAAGACAGGUGUGAAAUCCCCGGGCUCAACCUGGGAAUGGCGCUUGUUACUGGCAGGCUAGAGUGUGUCAGAGGGAGGUAGAAUUCCACGUGUAGCAGCGAAAUGCGUAGAGAUGUGGAGGAAUACCGAUGGCGAAGGCAGCCUCCUGGGAUAACACUGACGCUCAUGCACGAAAGCGUGGGGAGCAAACAGG